GCUGAGGGGACACCAAGCUGUGACUCGACAGACUUUCCUCAGCUAGUGAGUGAGGGGUGCAGUGCUUGAAAACAUCAGCAUGGCUACAUAAUAUUCUCAUAACAGAAAAUGGGCUCACCGUGGUCUGCUCCUCUUCAGCAUCUGAGUCGCUCUCAUCAUCUGAAGCCACACAGAGAAGGCAGUGAGAAGCGAGGGUCAAAAUGCUGCUGGGUGCUAGUGGGUGGCACGGCUGAGAUCCAAAGGCUGCGCGUGGUGAUUCUGGGGACUGAGUUCUCUUGGGCCUACCCUAAGGCUGACAUAAGGCCACGCCUCCUUCUAUACUGCACCAGUCCAGGACCGAGACUGCAGGAGUGAACUGGUGCCCUUGGUGAGUAUCCCCUUCACCAUGUUACCUUGGGA